rnacentral:lncRNA from 1 species
GGCGGGCCUAUCAAAGAAUAACCCAUGUCUGUUUGACAGGAGGAAGAGCGGCCAGCCUAGGUUUUCUUUCUCGGUAUUACUUAAAAUUGGAAACAUAUUCAUCACGGCACCAAUCUAUCUUAUGUUGCAGUGAUUUCUACUCAACUUCCUCAUCACCAAACUUGGAAGGUAGUAUCGGAUUGUAUGUGUUAAAACGGGCUUUAUAUGUUGAAAUCCACUGGAUUUGUUUGUUGUGAAUGAUUUAAUUUGAACUCAACUCUUAUAAUUUAUAUUUUUCAUUUACAUGAAUUAAAAUAAAAUUCCUCAAGGGUUGAUUCAUGGACAGAAACGUAAUGUAAUGGCAUUAACUUUUUCAGGAAAAGGGGCUGAGUUUAUAGCUUUGUGUAANNUUAACGUGAUUGAUAAAAUGCUCCAGAGAUGUUAUUUUCAUGAAAUUAACCAGCUUAAUUACUCAACUUUCACGUACGAUUCCCAAUGCAUUUUCUUGUUCAAACUUUGACACUGCUACUUAAUUGCUGGAAUUUUUAAAAAAAUUUCCCGUUCAAGCUUCAUUUGUGCUCCGGUAAUGAAAAUGGGGCUUAUUGCUAGGUAAUUUUUCAAUUGUGAGUUUAUUGAAGGAAAGAUGAAGAAAGGAAUCCAUCCUCAGAUGCAAUGGAUAUCCUAUGUGACCCAGAGUGGUCGAUUGAUGCCCAUUAUGAUGAGCAAAAUACACCAAGUUGGUAAAGUCUAUCAUUUCAGGGCUAAGCGGCAGAUGGCUCAAAGUAUUGGACAGAUUGCCAAAUUUAAGCGUCGUUAUGGACAACAGCAGGAAGAGGAAACCCAGGACCAGGAGAAAUAAAUUCUUUUGAGGUGCAAAAUGAAUGGUACAUUGCUCUAUUAUAAUGUAUUAAGAUUCACCCACCAACUUAACAAAUGGUGUUUCGUUCAGUUAAUACAGUUGCUGAGUUGCUCCUUGAUGCACAUUUGUUUUCUAUUCACUUUCCAGUUAGAAUUCCAGUUGCCUUACUUUUUUUAAUCCACAGGAUAUUAUACUAGUAUAUCUUUGUAGUGUUAAGUUGGAUGUUGGCUGAAUGAAUUUCUAUGGUGUUCACAAUCUGAAGAUGUACCUUGAGAGUUGCAUGCUAAUAUUUGUAGUUUCUGUGUAAAAAAUAUAAGUCAGCUUCGAAAGCUGGAUAAUUAUCUGAAUUUUAUGUUUUAGGAUCUGC